rnacentral:rRNA from 1 species
GAUGAACGCUGGCGGCGUGCAUAACACAUUCAAGUCGAACGGUGAACCCUUCGGGGGGAUCAGUGGCGGACGGGUGAGUAACGCGUGAGCAACCUGCCCUUGUGUGGGGGACAACAGUUGGAAACGACUGCUAAUACCGCAUAAUGCAUUGGGAACGCAUGUUUCUGAUGCCAAAGGUUUAUUGCGCAAGGAUGGGCUCGCGUUGGAUUAGGUAGUUGGUGAGGUAACGGCCCACCAAGCCGACGAUCCAUAGCCGGACUGAGAGGUUGAACGGCCACAUUGGAACUGAGAAACGGUCCAGACUCCUACGGGAGGCAGCAGUGGGGAAUAUUGGGCAAUGGGCGAAAGCCUGACCCAGCGACGCCGCGUGCGGGAAGACGGUCUUCGGAUUGUAAACCGCUUUUAUUAGGGACGAAGCAUGACGGUACCUAAUGAAUAAGCCACGGCUAACUACGUGCCAGCCGCCGCGGUAAGAC